rnacentral:rRNA from 1 species
AACGAACGCUGGCGGCAUGCCUAACACAUGCAAGUCGAACGCCUGUAGCAAUACAGGAGUGGCAGACGGGUGCAAAACGCGUGGAAACCUAUCCUUGGGUUCGGAAUAACCGCGGGAAACUGCGGCUAAUACCGGAUACGUCCUUCGGGAGAAAGAUUUAUCGCCCAUUGAGGGGUCCGCGUCUGUUUAGCUAGUUGGUGAGGUAAUGGCUCACCAAGGCGACGAUCAGUAGCUGGUCUGAGAGGAUGAUCAGCCACACUGGAACUGAGACACGGUCCAGACUCCUACGGGAGGCAGCAGUGGGGAAUAUUGGACAAUGGGCGCAAGCCUGAUCCAGCAAUGCCGCGUGGGUGAUGAAGGCCUUCGGGUUGUAAAGCCCUUUUGGCGGGGACGAUGAUGACGGUACCCGCCGAAUAAGCUCCGGCUAACUUCGUGCCAGCCGCCGCCGUAAAAC